rnacentral:rRNA from 1 species
GACGAACGCUGGCGGCGUGCCUAAUACAUGCAAGUCGAGCGCAGGAAACUGACGGAACUCUUCGGAGGGAAGGCAGUGGAAUGAGCGGCGGACGGGUGAGUAACACGUAAGGAACCUGCCUCAAGGAUUGGGAUAACUCCGAGAAAUCGGAGCUAAUACCGGAUAGUUCAACGGACCGCAUGGUCCGCUGAUGAAAGGCGCUUCGGCGUCACCUUGAGAUGGCCUUGCGGUGCAUUAGCUAGUUGGUGGGGUAACGGCCCACCAAGGCGACGAUGCAGAGCCGCCCGGAGAGGGUGAUCGGCCACGCUGGGCCUGAGACACGGCCCAGACGCCUACGGGAGGCAGCAGUAGGGAAUCUUCCACAAUGGACGAAAGUCUGAUGGAGCAACGCCGCGUGAGUGAUGAAGGUUUUCGGAUCGUAAAACUCUGUUGUAAGGGAAGAACACGUACGAGAGGAAAUGCUCGUACCUUGACGGUACCUUACGAGAAAGCCACGGCUAACUACGUGCCAGCCGCCGCCGUAA